GGAUAGGAGAGCGAUCUGUCUGCGACAUCUGUCAUCCCAUUGAUCGCCAGGGUUGAUUGGACUGAUCUAGAUGGCCAGGCAGGUGUCCCCUUCUUCCCUCAACAUUUCCCAUGUAUCCCUCCCAAAGCUUUGUGCUCAGAGAGGACUACCUUCCCUGAUAGAGGAGGACUGGUCUUUGGUCAAGGGUAUAUGAGUAGCUGCUCUCCCCUGCUAGAACCUCAAAACAAGCUGUCAAGAAAUACUUCUCAGGGCCUGGUGAAAUGGAUGUGCCUAUAAAGGUGCUUACUACCAAGCCUGACAACUUGCAUAGCAACCCUUGUCCAAC
rnacentral:snRNA from 1 species